rnacentral:rRNA from 1 species
UAGUCAGCCACACUGGGACUGAGACACUGCCCAGACUCCUACGGGAGGCUGCAGUCGAGGAUCAUUUGCAAUGCGCGAAAGCGUGACAAUGCGACGCUGCGUGGAGGACGAAGGCCCUAGGGUUGUAAACUCCUGUCAUGUGGGAAAAACUGCCCCUUCACUAAUACGGAUGGGGUUUGAUGGUACCACAAGAGGAAGCGACGGCUAACUUCGUGCCAGCAGCCGCGGUAAUACGAAGGUCGCUAGCGUUGUUCGGAUUUACUGGGCGUAAAGGGUGCGUAGGUGGUUUCGUGUGUCGGCUGUGAAAGCCCGGGGCUCAACCCCGGAACUGCAUCCGAAACUGCGGAACUAGAGUCCAGGAGGGGAGAGCGGAAUUCAGGGUGUAGCGGUGAAAUGCGUUGAUAUCCUGAAGAACACCGGUGGCGAAGGCGGCUCUCUGGAAUGGUACAGACACUGAGGCACGAAAGCGUGGGGAGCAAACAGGAUUAGAUACCCUGGUAGUCCACGCCGUAAACGGUGCGCACUUGGUGUGGGAGGUAUUGACCCCUCCCGUGCCGGAGCUAACGCGUUAAGUGCGCCGCCUGGGGAGUACGACCGCAAGGUUAAAACUCAAAGAAAUUGACGGGGGCCCGCACAAGCGGAGGAGCAUGUGGCUUAAUUCGAUGCAACGCGAAGAACCUUACCAAGGCUUGACAUCUAGCUGCACGCCUCCCGAAAGGGAGGAAGCUUUCGAAGGUGCUAGACAGGUGCUGCAUGGCUGUCGUCAGUUCGUGCCGUGAGGUGUUUGGUUAAGUCCAGCAACGAACGCAACCCCUGUGUCUAGUUGCCACCGACGGUGAUGAGCCGUCGAGCACUCUAGACAGACUGCCCGUACAAGCGGGAGGAAGGUGGGGACGACGUCAGGUCAGUAUGGCCCUUACGCCUUGGGCUGCACACGUGCUACAAUGGCAGGUACAGAGGGAUGCUAUACCGCGAGGUGGCGCAAAUCCACAAAACCUGCCCCAGUUCGGAUUGGAGUCUGCAGCUCGACUCCAUGAAGUUGGAUUCGCUAGUAAUGCCGUAUCAGCUACGACGGCGUGAAUACGUUCCCGGGCCUUGUACACACCGCCCGUCACAUCAUGAAAGCCGUCUGCACCCGAAGUCGUUGAUCUAACCCGCAAGGGAGGAAGGCGCCGAAGGUGUGGGUGGUGAUUGGGAUGAAGUCGGAACAAGGUA